AUGAAUAAAUGAGUAAUUUAAUUAAGUAUACUUUUAUUCCUAUACUUCUAGCAAUUUUAUUGUUUAGAAUGUUAACAUGAUUUUUCCAAGUGAGAUUUUCAUUAAUGUUAACACCCAAGAAAUUGAACGGAGUUUCUCUGGUUUGUCUUUAAUAUAAAUAAUUAUAACUUUAAAAAACCGACGAGACAAAAAGAAGUCACUCUGAACCGGAUAAACGCAUUGGAAAAUAGAAAUUGUUGACAUUUUCAAUUGUGCUGAAAAAAAUAUAUGGCAACAGUGUGGAAUAAAGUCCACACUGUUGACUUAUUAUAAAAAAAGUCUACCGUUGGCUUAUUUUAAAAAAGACAGCGCUAGGUAAGAUUUGCUAUUUGCAUGGUAAUUGCUUACCUGACAAGAAAGUUAUAUAGGAUGAAUGUGAUGAAAACUGAUAACCAGUAUGGAUUAUGUGUUCAACAAGAGGAACACAAUUGCGGUCCACUUAAUUAUGUUAUAAAAUGUGGCAUAAUUAUAUGUUUAUUUUGUGUUUGCAACCGGUUUACAA